rnacentral:ncRNA from 10 species
AUCGUUCAAUCUGUAUUUACAGAUCGGAAGUAAGCCAAAGCUGAAGGAACGCGGA